UACGGUCAAAUCAUAGUGAAAACACCGGUUCCCGUUCGAUCACCACAGUUAAGUAGCGUCAAGUCCAAUCAGUAAUAAGAUGGGGGACCUCUUGGGAACACCGGGUACUGUAAG